GUUGAGUUGAGUUAAGUUGAGUUUGAAUUACAUGGAUGUGCAAAAACUUGUUUUGGUUGAAAAUAUACCAUUAAUUACCCCAUUUUUUUAAUCAAAUAUUACCUAAUAAUAUUUCAACAUUCAUAUAUAUGCACAUUUUUAUAUUUUUAAUGCAAAGCACUUUCAAAAACUAUAAAACAGCAUAAGGUCCUACAACAUAAUAAACCAGCAAAUUCAAAGAGGACAACCAUGAUUGCCAAAUUCCAUAAGCAGAUGAAUGAGUAAAGACAGUAUUUUCAGGUAAUCCUAUAUAAUAAUAUGAAGAAAAAUGUCAAAAUACAGUCGAUCAAACAAUGCAUACCCUUCUCUGGAUGACAUCUGAC
rnacentral:misc_RNA from 1 species